UUACAAAUAUUACCUCAUUUGGUUCUCACAACCCUCUAGGAGAUAUGUGCUAAAUUGAGACAAAUGGAGGUUAAGGGACACGGCUGAGUUUAAAAACUAGUAAGAGUGUUUAUGGAUGCAUUUGCACCUAGGGACAAUAAAAAAGUUUGAGAUUUUUUGAUCAUUGAAGUAGAAUAUAUAUGAUGGUAAUGAUGAAAAUGAAUGAUGAAAAAUAUUCUUGCAUAUAAGUGAGUUGAAGUAGAAGUUGUGAGAAUUAAAGAGAGCAAGGAAUUGGAAAGUUUGGAUAUGUUAAGGGAAGAGAAACAUUUAUGUUGAUGUCCCCUCGUUUAAGAGAAGGAAUUAACUUGAAAGUAAUCUGACAGAAAUUCUGAUUUAAACCAGCAUCUCAUACCAUAUACUAUAAUAAGCUCCAAAUGAAUUCAUGACCUAGAUAUAAAAGGUCAUAUUAAAAAAAAUUAAUGGAACAGCUUCAUUUUCUCGAUAGUAAGCUGUCUUUAAGGGACUGUACUUGAAUCUUUUGACAUUACCAUCUUGCAUGUAGGUGUGUAUCACUUUUCACAGUCCAUCAACCAUCUGUUCUUUUUCCCAGCAGACAAAUGAGGCAGAGAAGACUGGUUCAGUGAAAGAAGGUUCGUGUUCACUGCUGGCAUACUGUCUAGUAGGAGUCCCAAAUUCUUAGCUAUAUUGCUAUUUGUAAUCCAAUUCACAGAACUUUACAUACUGUACACACUUUUUUUGUUUUAAUUUUUAAGGUAUCUCCAUGGCGUCAGUGUUGUGUGAUCCUUAGGACAAAUUGUCUGCAUUUGGCUGGUAGUAUAUGUUAAAGUCUUGGUUGGCUAGAGCUGUUGUGUGGUUGUAGAAAAACUUAAUACUUCCUUAACACCAUUCUAUCACAUUCUAGGUCCUCUGUGACUGAAUCAUUGGAAGGAAGGAAAGAACUGGCUUGAAGACUUUCUAUGACACUAGUUAUAUUCUUGGCCCUUUGUGACUAUAUUAUUUGAGUGAUAUUUGAGACAAAGUUCUCAGACAAGAAGGUGGAACAUAUUGGAACCAUGGGACGUUAAAAAAAGAUGAAAAGGUUGGGAAAGGCUACUGUGUCUUCCAGCUCCUAAUCUGUGAACCUGCGAUUCUUCGAUCAAUCCAGUGGAGAAGCACCGUACACACUCAGGUUCAUUUGUCUGAUGAAUUUGUCAGCACUCCAGUUUAUGAAACUCACUUCUCAUUCCAGUUCAGUUGCCAACAUAACCACAGGCAGGCUAAUGACAUAUUCAUCAUCACACCUGGGGAGGUGGCUCCAGAGAACCUGUCCUCACCUCACCUGAAUGAGCUGUCAGAGAAGCCAGACACCUUGACGAGCAGAAAGAGUUAGAGGGGGCUGAUCCACCUGGGAUUUUCAGGCAGCUUCCUCGCAGGAAGUGCCCCUUCCUAACAGGAGUCACCUUAGUGUCAGGUCAGACUGCAAGGUCGUAAUUAUAUUGGCUGAAGGAGGAGGUGCUAGUCUCUGCGACUCUCAACACCUGGCCAGCUCCUCAUCAGCUCAUCUUCACUACCAGGUGUGCAUAUGUACCCUCAAUGCAGUGGCAGGUACACACAGUUGGGCACACCAGAACCAUGUAAUGUUCCUUUCCAGAUCUAAAUCAUAUAAAACAUUUUAUAAGCCAGGAUUUUAAAGCGGGCUGGCUUAAAAACUGCUUUUGGAAAAAAGGGUAACAAUGAUAAUAACAACUCAUAUUUAUGUAGUACUUUGAGGUUUGUAAUAUUCUCUCUCUCUCUGUCUCUCUGUCUCUUGCCUCAUACUAAUCCAAAGUGGGAAGUAUUAUAAUAAUCUCUAUUUUAUAUAGAUUUUAUGAAUUACCCUGGGGUCAAACAGCUAGCAAAGGUUUGAAGCAGGAUUUGAACUUUUCUGACUUUUCUGACUGAACUUUUUCUGACUUCAGGUCUUGAACUCUGAGAGCCCUAUGAGCUUUGAUAUUUUAUAUUUUUCUCAAAGUGUAUAAGGAGAGAGCAAACCUCAAAGAUCUCUAAUCCAGCACUAUUGGGGACAAAGAGAGCAGGGAAGGUUAGAGAGAAGAAAGAAAGAAAAUUGGGAAUAAUACAACUGUUUCCCUUUGAAGUUAGUUCCCUAUAUGCACAUAGAGUGGAGAAAUGGUAUGAAAAAUUCAAAUUCUGUUGUUUGGCUUUGGAGUAAAUUAGAUGCUAUUUCCUUACUUUAGAAGUCUCCCUCAUUAUGUUUGCCUCAGGAUGACAUUAAGAUGAGUUUUCAUUUUUACUUUACAUGUGCCUUCUUAAAGGGGCAUGGAGGUAAAGAGGAAGGGAGAGA